UCGUAUCUGAGUUUUCCGGUUACCACGGUGUUAUGUCCAGUGAGCUGUUUGCAGGAAUAUGAGCUUUGGACGAGUGCACAUCGUUUGGCUUCUUCCCCUCGAUUUUUCCUCUUUGUUCGUCACCCCUUUACCCUGUGUCCAGUACUACCUUGGCUCGCUGGGCAAAAUGGGUGAUCUGGCUGGUGUGGAUACACCCAUCUUUAGCGCCCAUUACUCCCGGGGGCAUCAGCCAUGUCUAUGGUGGCUUUGGGGGCACGUCUGGGAAACCUGAUGAGGAUGGCGGACUGGUCCUGUGACUCCAUUUUUCGUGAGGUUGACUUUCGACUUAUGCCCCACGCUUUUUCUUCUGUUAUUGAUCAGCUUUAAACUUGC